CAAGGAUAAAAAAAAAGAAUGCCUUUAGAUCUGUGUCUGUUGACUUCUCGCUGGGAGUGCUACACUCUGAUCGUGGCAAGAAUCUUGCUGAUGAUCAAGCCGGAUGCUACAGGGGUUGCCUGAUCACCAAGAACAGCAGCAACUACUCCAUAUCUUCUUGAAGGUGAAGGAAGAACGGAAGAGAACAUAGUAUAUGUGCCACUUUAAACAAAGGGAGGACAGCCCACCGGAAGCAUGAGGUGAAUUGUCAGACUGAAUGCUGAAUCAACAUUAGACAUGCCGGCAUGCAUGCCUGAAUAUAUGUCUGCCAUGCAAAUUGUAAGGCUAAGCUCACACUACUGAAGAAGACACCGUGACUGCUUUUUAAACACUAUGUCCAUCUUCAUCCAUAUAUUCUCAGGUAAUAUGAACAGAAACAUAACUACAUCAAAGACUUUCAGGAGCCACAGUACAGCUAUAAAAGCAUAAUCUUACUCUGACAGUUUAAGAGGUUACUAUGAUAAACUGGCAGGAUGAAUUUCCAAUGCAAAUAGUAUAGGGCUGAUGGGACGAACAAUUAUUCCAAAUUCGCCUUCUGUCUGAUUCUACAAGAUUUAUUUUUCUUUUUUUAAAAAAACUGCAUCAAGGAGCACACACUCUUGUGUAAGCUGGCUGGAGUUUAAGAAUGGGAAUGUACCUCCAAAUGUAGAUCCCACUGAAAGGAAGAUAACAGCCUCCAUGUUAAACCUGCACCCAUAAAAACGAAAGGAGACUAUCCAUAUUUGGAUACAUUCUAAUGAUCUGAUUUGUCUCUGAAGGAUUAAAACACAAGGGUAUCUGAGGGAAUCACAGUUUCCAUGGAGAGUUGAUAUCUCAAGGGUAGAAAAAGCAGGAAAUUCCCUAAAAAUAAAGGGUUAGGUUUCAAACAUUCCAAGCUAUUUGCUGUCUGUUUAGACUAUAUACAUUUAGGGCCAGCUCAAGACAUUCUGCUGCCAAAGGUGAAUGACAAGAAGGUGUCCCCCCCCUUCACAUACAGAAACUGAUUAGACUGGCAGUUUAAUCUUAUCUUGACAGUGGUUGGGACAAUGUACUGUAAACCAUAAGACAAACCUUGUUUAUAGCUUGUUGUUUGGAGAGAGUUAAACUAUAAGCCUGGUUUGGACAACAAGCUAAGCCAAACCAUGUCCUACCUUAGCAUAGCAGCAGUACAGCUGGUGAAGAACACAGAGCCUGAAAUCUCCUCUAGGAGCCUGCCUGCACAUUGGCUUGUUCAUGCUAAGCCACAGUUUCUUUUAGCAUGACAAAAUAAAUAAAUGCUUUUCUGCUCUUGAUGUACAAAAACAUGAAAGAGGCCUGCAAAGCUUUUCAUAUUUUCAAGUUUAAAAACUUGAUGGAGCUGUUUAAAAAAAUGACUCUCUCUCUCCGACCACAGUACCAACUGGCAAAUGGGCUUCAAAUUCCAGAUGAAGAGCAAAUCUAAAUCAACUUCUGUUCCCUGUAGAAUGGGAACUGAUGAGGUACUUCAUAAAAUGAUUGGAGAAGCAAAUUAUACUGCAACCUCUGCAAUGUUCCACAGUGUAGUUACUGUUCCCUUUCUCCCAUUCUUUGGAUACCCUGCAAUUUUCAGCAGAGAUACCCAGAAACACAGGCUUUUUGGCCGCGGCUUCACAUUUAUGAAAUUCCCUCGCUAGAGAUCUUCAUCAAGACCCUUCUCUGGUUGCUUUCAACAGGCUCUGAACAUAUAUCUUUUGUUUAGCCUUCCCUGAUUAAUUGAUAUAUUAACACAAAGUAUAAUAUAUAUGGAUAUUCUGUAGCUGAAGACUUUGGGCUAUGUUUGGGGCAUUCAACCAUUUUAAUCCACUUCGGUCAAAUGGUGCAACUUUUAGGUUAGACACCCUCUGUGCUAGACAUUUAAAGCAGUAUUUUACUACUGUUAUAGCUUCCCACAGAGAAUCCUGGGAAGUGUAAUUUGUGAAGGGUGCUGCGAGUUGUCAGGAGAUCCCCUGUUCUCCCUCACAGAGCUACAAUUCCCAGGGUUCCCUGGGAAGAGGGAUUGUUCAACCACUCUGAGAACUGUACCUUUGUGAGGGGGAAAAAGACACCUUCAUUUUAGGAAGACAGUUCUAUUAUGGGUCUCUUCCCAGCAUAGUAUACCAAGAGGAGAGGGGUCACUUUAAGUUCUGAGUACAGCGACAAUUUAACUUCCCAUCUCAGUUGCUAGUUCUGAUUUAAAAAUAAAAUAGGAGAACCCAACAGUAAUUGUUGGCAUUUGUUCCAGGCACUACCUGUUGGUUUCAAUCCUAAAAGUAAGAACUGCCUUAAGGAGGCUUCUGAUCACUACUCUUGGAAAGUCACUGAAAAGGCUUCUUAUGCAUGACCAUUCUCUGAGCAUGGGAAUCCCAUUGUGUUAUGCCCUGUCACAUGAAGCACCAGCACACAGAAGCAUUUUUAAAAAGGAUUCAGUUAGCUCUUAGUCUUUUAUGCUUUGGGAUCCCUUACAAUGCCUAACCCAGAGGUUCCCCAAACUGCGGUCCGUGGACCACCAGUGGUCCAUGAGGUUCAUUCAGGUGGUGCAUGACAGGUCCACUUGAAAUAUUCAUAUUGAUUUUUAGCUAUAUUUUCAUGUUGUCAUGUGCUGUGCUAGGUGCUAACUUUUUACUUUUAUUUUCAUUGCUUCUUUUCUUUCUUACAUGGUAUUUUAUUGUAUUACAAUUUGUAUUCUGCAACAACUGGCAGAAAAAUCAUUAAGUGGUCCGCCAAGUCCCCAGCAAUUUUCAAGUGGCCCAUGGGGAAAAAAGUUUGGGGACCGCUGACAUAACCUAAUGUUGGCAACUAUUCAAGGCACCAUCAUGGGCUUGUGGAGUCACAAUAUUUUAUUCUUGGAAAGGAUGAAGAACAAAAAUGACUUGCAACGUACUAGGCUUUUGCUGUGGUAUCCGCCAUAUAUUAAUCACACCAAUCACAAUAACUAUUUCUCCCAGCUAUAUUCAUCUCACUGAAUUUUUUAUUGUGGAGCAACACAGUAGUCAGGUUCACUAUGACUUAGCACAUAAGCAACAUAUAAUUAACUAGUGCUUUCAAAUUGUAGGAAAUUGCUUUAAAAUAUGUUAUUAUCAACAUUAAAUUAGGAGGGGGAGAAUAAUGUGUGCCACUUUGAGCUCCUUGGAGAAAAAGUGGGAUAUAAAUGCAAGAAUAAAAUAAAUAAAUAUGCAUAUUCUUUUACUUAAUGGUAAGUGUAUUUUAGUUUUAACAUUUUAUGUAAACUG